AGAGCUGAGCGGAAGGGAGAAUCGCGCAUGAGCGUUCCUUGGCUAGGCGGAGGCGCGGCUCUGCUGAAAGCGGCCCCAGUGUGCGAGCCCACGCUUUAGAAUAUAGGCUUGAAGAGGUAGGGAAGGAGCUGGCGCGCGCUGGGCUGUAGACGCGGAGGUGGGGCCAGACGGGCGCGCGCUUGGGGGCCGGUUCUCGCGAGAGUGGAAUCGCUCUUUUGCUACUCCUGCUGUCCGCCCGUCGCCACACCGCCGUUGCUGCGGGGGAUUGUGGGAGGUUUCGCGUCCCGCUCGAAGAGAGGUGUCGUCGUUCUUCCUCCUCCUCCCCUUCCCUGAGGUAGCAGUGAAACGGCAGCUGAAUGCACUCUGCAACAGUCUUUAUAUAUCACUGGCCUAAGGAUCAAGAAGUGGGCUAGAAGUUGAAUCCAGGUCUGUCAGAUGGAUGUGCAGAGCGAUAGUCUUGCAUAUUUUUAAAUUUUAGGUAGCUUUUCAAUCUGCCUGAUGUAUUAAAUUACAAAUUUUGUCAUUGUAAAGUACCAUAAUGUGUGUGUAUGUGUGUGUGUGUGUGUGUGUGUGUGUGUGUAUCUAUAUAUUGCUACUAUACGUAACUAUGUUCUGAACAAAGCUCUAGGAUUUUAUCCCCAAAGAAUUUUCAUUGUGAAUUAAUUUGAUCUUCAUAUUUUAAAAAAAUGAAUACCACAUUAAAAUUCACUCUAAGGUAUGUACCAUAUUGAAAUACUGACGCUUGUGGUAAUGGUAUUUGAGAACUUCAUGGUGUAAGGUUCUAAUGUGGUUCAAACUGAGAGUUGAGUUUCAUCCAAAAAAAAAGAAAAGGAAAAAUUGGGGGGGGGGGAAGCCCCCAGAAUUAUAAACCAUUUAGCAAUAGAAAAACUAGUAAAAGCUGCUUUCUUUUUUUUUUUUGUUUGUUUGUUUUUAGGCAGUUGGGGUUAAGUGACUUGCCCAGGGUCACACAGCUAUUAAGUGUCAAGUGUUUGGUCUGAGGCUGGAUUUGAACUCAGGUACUCUUGACUUCAGGGCCGGUGCUCCAUGCACUGCGCCACCUAGCUGCCCCCGAAAGCUGCUUUCAAAAAGCAUUACUAAAAUUAAAAUUCACAUAUUGUGACUAUUUCUGAUUGAACAUCUGAUGACUAAUUCAAGGUUUUGAUCCUUGAAUAAUUUUUACAAAAACAAUUAAAAAAUUUAUGAUAUAGAUAUAUAUCUAUAUUAUAUCUCUAUGUAUUAUAGAGAUAUAGGUAAUAUAAAUAUAGAAAGAUAAUCAGUUUAAAUGAAUCAGAACAAUCUAACCUUUUAAAUGAAUUGAAAAGGAGCCAGAUUAUAGAUUUGAAUUGGUAACCUGAGCAGGAAAUGAAGUUGAAUACUCCAUAUAUCAAGCAGCAACCCUUUCAAAGGAUUUGUUUAAUUGGUCAUUUCUCAUUCUUGCAGUAGAAGACAGACCACAGCUGAUUUAUUUAGGUACCUAUAACUUGUAACACUGUAAGCACAUUCUUACUCUGCCGACUAGAUUGGCAUUCUUGCAAUUAUAUUCUAAUCGUUGGUUAGACUAUCUUCAAAAUGUGUUUUGAUCUGUGUAAAAAUUAGCAACUCAGAGGGAUUUUAAGAGCAUUGAGAAAAUUUGAAAUGCUUGUAAAUAAUUUGUAAUUCAAAUGCUGAAGAUACUAUUAGAAACCACAGUUCAGUAUUAGAAAAUAAAAAUACUUGUUCAAUAACUUAAUGGUUUAAU
ensembl:lncRNA